rnacentral:rRNA from 1 species
UACGUAGGGGCCUAGCGUUGUCCGGAUUUAUUGGGCGUAAAGAGCUUGUAGGCGGUUUGUCGCGUCUGCUGUGAAAAUCCGGGGCUCAACCCCGGACUUGCAGUGGGUACGGGCAGACUAGAGUGUGGUAGGGGAGACUGGAAUUCCUGGUGUAGCGGUGGAAUGCGCAGAUAUCAGGAGGAACACCGAUGGCGAAGGCAGGUCUCUGGGCCACUACUGACGCUGAGAAGCGAAAGCAUGGGGAGCGAACAGG